UUUUACUAUAAGCAGCAAGCUAUGAGGCAGUACCCUCAACAGUCUUGGCUAACAGUCCUUAGCCCAAUUACCUAGUUCACUAGUGACAUUCUCUAGUUUCCACAAAACCACAGCUGACAGUGUUGCUAACUACAUAAUAAGAAUAUAUAAUAAGAAUUACAUAGUAACUACAUAGUAAGAAUCUUCCUUCCUCCAGUUUCCAAUAACAUGCUCCUCAUUUACUUUUAAGUCCUCACCAGCAGUCUCUUCAAUGUCCUUCCAGCUCCUACCAAUUGCUCAGUUCCAAAACCAUUCCUAAAUUUUAAGUUUUUAUUAUGGCAGCCUCCCACUUCUAAAUACCGAAGUCUUUAUUAGUUAUCUAUUGCUUUAUAAAGAAUUACCCAACGCUUAGCAGCUUAAACUUUUUUUUUUUUCCUCCGUGCAGUUUCUGAGGGCCAGGAACCUGGGUGGUUCUGGCUUAGGGCCUUCCAUAGGUUGUAGCCAAGUUGCUGGCCAGGGCUGCAGUUAUGAUUUGACUGGGGAUGGAGGAUUCACCUCUAACAUGGCAUCUUUCAUGUGGCUGUUGGCUAGAGGCUCAGUUCCUCACUGACUAUUGUCAGGAGGCCACAGUUCCUUGUCACAAGAGACUCCAGAAGGCUACUUGGCAUAACAGCUGGCUUCCCUCAAAAGAAACUAUUCUAAAGAGAGUGACCAAGAGGGAAGUAACAAUGCCUUUUAUGAUCUAGUCUCUGUAUUCACACAUGAUCACUUCUUCUUUAUUCUAUUGGUCAUACAAACCAAUCCAGACACACAGGGACUAACAAGGAUAUGAACACCAGCAGAUGAAGAUCAUCAGUACCAUCUUGGAGGCUGGCUACCACAACACAACCCAGUGAUUCCAUGGAAAGCAGAAAGAAGGACAUAAAGAAACGGAUACUUGGUGACAUCUUUGACUCACUGGAUCAAACCUUGCCUGAAGCUCACAUUUCUGAAAUUUCCAGAUACAAGAACAAAUACUUCCUCUUUAUUGUUUUACUAGAUUUGAGACAAGCUUUAAGUUUCUCAGACUCUUCCUCUUCCUAACAGAUUUAUCAGAAGCUGAAAGCUCUGAUCUUGUUGGGAUGCGGAUCGUGUCAGGAGAAGGCUUACUUUGCACGCUUUUCUUAGUCUGGUUGCCUAACUCAAGAACCUCGGCAUGGCUCUGUUACUUCUCUACUCAGACAAGCAUCCCUGCAGACACUCACUAGGCUAACUCUGUCUUUAUUUUUAGAAUUAGACCUUUACGAGAAGCACAGUUUUGUCUUCAGUUUCCUCUCCCCCCACCCGGAAUGGCCUGAGCCGAAGCCAGCUCCCUCCGAGAAGUCAUUACCGCCUGACUUGCGUUUGAUAUUUAGACACCUUGGUCACAACAUCUUGCAUUCUCUCGGGAUGCUGAUUUCUAACUGCUCUUUGGCCUUUCCUGCAUUGGUCCUCCUCAGGCAGGGGAUCCCUGCUCUUCUAUAUUAGUGAGAAAACCAAGGCUCAGAGAAACUGUGGAUUUUCUAAGGAUGCUGGCUCCCCGUCCCCUGUCCACCAUGAGUCAAAGCAAUGUGAGUCCCUCACCAGAUGCAACUGCCCAGUCUUGGACUUUCCAGUGACCAGAAUCAUGAGCCAAAUAAACCUCUUUUCUUUAUGAA
rnacentral:lncRNA from 1 species